UUCACGCCAUUCUCCUGCUUCAGUAGCUGAGUAGCUACCUCCCGGAGUAGCUGGGACUACAGGCGCCUGCCACCACGCCCAGCUAAUUUUUUGUAUUUUUAGUAGAGACAGGGUUUCACCAUGUUAGCCAGGAUGGUCUCGAUCUCCUGACCUCGUGAUCCACCCUCCUUGGCCUCCCAAAGUGCUGGGAUUACAGGCAUGAGCCACCGCACCUGGCCAAAUGACUGGUUCUUUAAAGAAAAAUGAAGAAUAAAAUCUGGGACUGGAUGGAAAGCUCAGUAUUGUGUCCGGAAUUGGUGGGUUCUUGGUCUCACUGACUUCAAGAAUGAAGCUGCGGACCCUCGCGAUAAGGAGUGGAUACUUCAAAAAUGCUUCUUUGGGGCCUGAAAGCGGCAUAUGUAAUUAAAGGCUGUUCAUUGUUACUCCACAUUCCUUUUGUAAGGAUCCAUGUGAUUGUUCCCACGGCCUGGAAGUCUCUUCCCUGACUUGUUCCAUGAUCAACCUCUACUCACCCUUCAAGGCUCAGCUCAAAUGCCCCUUGCCCCAGAAACCUUCCACAAGUCAUGAAGGCAUCACUGAACCCCAUUUCCAGGAUGAGCCCACAGCACUGCAUACAAUGAGUUGAGGAGUAAUUAUUUGUAUCUGGUCCAGGUUCCCAAUGAUGAACUCCUUGAGAAUAGAAACACCAUCAUGUUCAUCUUGGAAUCCUCAGUGACUGACACAGAGCUUGCUGUACAAGAAGCCCUCAAAAAAUGUGUACUGAAUGAAUAAAAUGCA